GACGAACGCUGGCGGCGUGCUUAACACAUGCAAGUCGAGCGGUAAGGCCCUUUCGGGGGUACACGAGCGGCGAACGGGUGAGUAACACGUGGGUGACCUGCCCUCAGCUCUGGGAUAAGCCUGGGAAACCGGGUCUAAUACCGGAUAUGACUCCAUGACGCAUGUUGUGGGGUGGAAAGCCUUGUGCGGCUGAGGAUGGGCCCGCGGCCUAUCAGCUUGUUGGUGGGGUGAUGGCCUACCAAGGCGACGACGGGUAGCCGGCCUGAGAGGGCGACCGGCCACACUGGGACUGAGACACGGCCCAGACUCCUACGGGAGGGCAGCAGUGGGGAAUCUUGCGCAAUGGGCGAAAGCCUGACGCAGCGACGCCGCGUGAGGGAUGACGGCCUC
rnacentral:rRNA from 1 species